rnacentral:rRNA from 1 species
UACGUAGGGUGCGAGCGUUGUCCGGAUUUAUUGGGCGUAAAGAGCUCGUAGGCGGCUCGUUGCGUCGGCUGUGAAAACCCGCAGCUCAACUGUGGGCUUGCAGCCGAUACGGGCGGGCUGGAGUUCGGUAGGGGAGACUGGAAUUCCCAGUGUAGAGGUGAAAUUCGUAGAUAUUGGGAAGAACACCAGUGGCGAAGGCGGCUAACUGGUCCAGAUCUGACGCUGAGGUGCGAAAGCGUGGGGAGCAAACAGG